GCUCAACCGGGGAGGGUCAUUGGAAACUGGGGAACUUGAGUGCAGAAGAGGAGAGUGGAAUUCCACGUGUAGCGGUGAAAUGCGUAGAGAUGUGGAGGAACACCAGUGGCGAAGGCGACUCUCUGGUCUGUAACUGACGCUGAGGCGCGAAAGCGUGGGGAGCGAACAGGAUUAGAUACCCUGGUAGUCCACGCCGUAAACGAUGAGUGCUAAGUGUUAGAGGGUUUCCGCCCUUUAGUGCUGCAGCAAACGCAUUAAGCACUCCGCCUGGGGAGUACGGUCGCAAGACUGAAACUCAAAGGAAUUGACGGGGGCCCGCACAAGCGGUGGAGCAUGUGGUUUAAUUCGAAGCAACGCGAAGAACCUUACCAGGUCUUGACAUCCUCUGACAACCCUAGAGAUAGGGCUUCCCCUUCGGGGGCAGAGUGACAGGUGGUGCAUGGUUGUCGUCAGCUCGUGUCGUGAGAUGUUGGGUUAAGUCCCGCAACGAGCGCAACCCUUGAUCUUAGUUGCCAGCAUUCAGUUGGGCACUCUAAGGUGACUGCCGGUGACAAACCGGAGGAAGGUGGGGAUGACGUCAAAUCAUCAUGCCCCUUAUGACCUGGGCUGCACACGUGCUACAAUGGGCAGAACAAAG
rnacentral:rRNA from 1 species